GGGAACCCGGUGAACUGAAACAUCUAAGUAGCCGGAGGAAGAGAAAGAAACAUCGAUUUCCUUAGUAGCGGCGAGCGAAAGGGAAAGAGCCCAAACCGAGGGUCUACGGACGUUCGGGGUUCGGACUUGCAAAAAUCGAAGUACUUAUAGACGAAGAGGUUUGGAACUUCCUACCAAAGAGGGUAACAGUCCCGUAGUCGAAAUGAGUACAAGAGGGCGAGAAUCCAGAGUACCACAGGACACGAGUAAUCCGGUGGGAAGACGGGGGGCCCACCCCCCAAGGCUAAAUACUACUUGGUGACCGAUAGCGUAUAGUACCGUGAGGGAAAGGUGAAAAGAACCCCGGGAGGGGAGUGAAAGAGUACCUGAAACCCUAUGUUUACAAGCAGUGGGAGCGAGAGCGACCAUGUACUUUUUGUAGAACGGGCCGGCGAGUUACUGUGUGCAGCGAGGUUAAGUUGUUAAGCAACGGAGCCGAAGGGAUACCGAGUCUGAAAAGGGCGUAAAGUUGCAUGCAGUACACCCGAAACCGGGUGACCUAUCCAUGGACAGGAUGAAGCGACGGUAAGACGUCGUGGAGGUCCGAACCACACGUACGUGAAAAGUGCGGGGAUGAGCUGUGGAUAGCGGAGAAAUUCCAAUCGAACUCGGAGAUAGCUGGUUCUCCCCGAAAUAGCUUUAGGGCUAGCCUCGAUUUAGAUUACCGGGGGUAGAGCACUGAAUGGGCUAGGGGGCCACAAAGCUUACCGAACCCUAUCAAACUUCGAAUACCGGAUAAUUGAUGAUCGGGAGUCAGACAGUGUGAGAUAAGUUUCAUUGUCGAAAGGGAAACAGCCCAGAUCUACGACUAAGGUCCCAAAGUUCAAGUUAAGUGGAAAAGGAUGUGCAAUUGCGUAGACAACCAGGAUGUUGGCUUAGUAGCAGCCAUUCAUUCAAAGAGUGCGUAAUAGCUCACUGGUCGAGUGAUUGUGCGCCGAAAAUGUAACGGGGCUAAACUUGACACCGAAGUCUAGGCAGAAGGAAACUUCUGGGUAGGGGAGCAACGUGUACGGGCAGAAGCAGAAGCGGAAGCGACUGUGGACUGUACAGGAGAGAGAAUGCCGGCAUGAGUAGCGAGAGCAAAGUGAGAAUCUUUGCCGUCGAAAGCCUAAGGUUUCCUGAGGAAGGCUCGUCCUCUCAGGGUAAGUCGGGACCUAAGCCGAGGACAAUAGUCGUAGGCGAUGGACAAUCGGUUAAUAUUCCGAUACCGCCGAGCAACCGGAUGCAGUGACACAGAAGGAUAGGCAGAGCGUGGCGAUGGUAGACCACGUCCAAGCAGUGAGGCUGUUGUGUAGUGAAGUACGCACAACGAAAGGCUGGGCUGUGAUGGGGAACGAUUACGAUCGGUAAGCUGCUGAAUUCACGCUGGCGAGAAAAGCUGCUACGAAGCGAAGGCGCCCGUACCGCAAACCGACACAGGUAGGCGAGGAGAGAAUCCUAAGACGAGCGGGAGAACCCUUGUUAAGGAACUCGGCAAAAUGACUCCGUAACUUAGGGAGAAGGAGUGCCCAGGAAUGGGCCGCAGAGAAUAGACCCAAGCGACUGUUUACCAAAAACACAGGUCUGUGCGAAGUAGAGAUACGACGUAUACGGGCUGACGCCUGCCCAGUGCCGGAAGGUUAAGGGGAAGUGUUAGGGCAACCGAAGCACGGAACUUAAGCCCCGGUGAACGGCGGCCGUAACUAUAACGGUCCUAAGGUAGCGAAAUUCCUUGUCGGGUAAGUUCCGACCCGCACGAAUGGUGUAACGAUUUGGGUACUGUCUCAACAAGGGACCCGGCGAAAUUGUAGUAUGUGUGAAGAUGCACAUUACCCGCGAUAGGACGGAAAGACCCCGUAGAGCUUUACUGUAGUUUAACAUUGGAUUCCGGUAACAUAUGCACAGGAUAGGUGGGAGGCGGAGAAGCAGUGAUUUCGGUUGCUGCAGAGCCGACGUUGGGAUACCACUCUUGUGUUACUGGGGUUCUAACCUGUGGCCGUGAUCCGGCACAGGAACAGUGUUAGAUGGGCAGUUUGACUGGGGCGGUCGCCUCCAAAAGAGUAACGGAGGCGUCCAAAGGUUCCCUCAGAAUGGUUGGAAACCAUUCGAAGAGUACAAAGGCAGAAGGGAGCCUGACUGCGAGACCGACAGGUCGAGCAGGGACGAAAGUCGGGCUUAGUGAUCCGGCGGUAUAGAGUGGAAUUGCCGUCGCUCAACGGAUAAAAGCUACCUCGGGGAUAACAGGCUU
rnacentral:rRNA from 1 species